CUUCAGCAUUGCUUGGUUUGAAGUAUCAACGAAGCAACAAGACUUGUUUUUGCCCCGUGAUAUAUCGAUGCAUCAAUCUCACAUGCUAUCUUACUCUAGAAACUCUGUUUUGGAGUGGCAAUGCUUUCGUACUCCCUGCUUUCGUGAUAUUGUCAUCUGGAUACACGAGGCCCUUAAAAAUCAUCCACAUCAUAAUGCAACAGAUGCCUUUGGUGCAUUUUGGGUGUUUCAAAUCUGUUCUUUUACAUCAUCAAAUAAAAAAGAGAGCAGAGAGAAACUAUGGUAAGGGGUUGAAUAAGAAAAAAGUGUUCUUUCUUUAUAUGGGAGUGAGAAGGCUGCAAUGAAGUUGAAUAGUAAGUCCUUUUAAUCAAAAGUUGGUUCGUCGAACUGCCUUGAGCUGGACGAUUUGGGACAUGCCGUAACAUACUAGCAGCUAAUUCAUGUGGUUCAGGCAUCCGAUUCGGAAUGCCGGUGAAGACACAACGAGGGAGAAGGAAAGAGGGGAAGAGAGAUAGAGAAGAGAGAAAAGAAAGAAAAAGGUCGGCAGUGGCCCACCGAGGCUGCUGGUGGACCGUCGAGCCUCUAGGUCUCCACAGUCCUAUGCGAGAUGGGAGGAGAGAGAGAGAGAGGGAAAGGGA
rnacentral:lncRNA from 1 species